rnacentral:rRNA from 1 species
UACAGAGGUCCCAAGCGUUGUUCGGAUUCACUGGGCGUAAAGGGUGCGUAGGUGGCGGGGUAAGUCGGACGUGAAAGCUCGGAGCUCAACUCCGAAAUGGCAUUGGAAACUACCUUGCUCGAGGGUUGGAGGGGGGACUGGAAUUCUCGGUGUAGCAGUGAAAUGCGUUGAUAUCAUCAGGAAUACCGGAGGCGAAGGCGGCUCACUGGGGGUUUUCUGACGCUGAGGAACGAAAGCCAGGGGAGCGAACGGG